AGCAGCCGCGGUAAUUCCAGCUCCAAUAGCGUAUAUUAAAGUUGUUGCAGUUAAAAAGCUCGUAGUUGAAUUUCGGGACCAAUUUGUUGGUCGUGCCUCGGUACGUACUGGUAUUAUUGGUUUCUCCCUUCUGAAGAACCUCGAUGCCAUUAAUUUGGUGUCGUGGGGAAUCAGGACUGUUACUUUGAAAAAAUUAGAGUGUUUAAAGCAAGCAUACGCUUGAAUACAUUAGCAUGGAAUAAUGAAAUAGGACGUUUGAUUCUAUUUUGUUGGUUUCUAGGAUCGACGUAAUGAUUAAUAGGGAUAGUUGGGGGCAUUAGUAUUCAAUUGUCAGAGGUGAAAUUCUUGGAUUUAUUGAAGACUAACUACUGCGAAAGCAUUUGCCAAGGAUGUUUUCAUUAAUCAAGAACGAAAGUUAGGGGAUCGAAGACGAUCAGAUACCGUCGUAGUCUUAACCAUAAACUAUGCCGACUAGGGAUCGGAUGAUGUUAAUUUUUAAUGACUCAUUGGCGCCUACGGG
rnacentral:rRNA from 1 species